CGGCUGGGUGUUUUUCUUUGGUCAACCUGUAUAAAAUAGAACUGGUGAAAAAAAUUGCGCAAAAUGGGAAACGGAAAGGGGAUCAUCAGAGGAGGUUUUAAGUUUUGCUUGCGGCGGUAUCACUGGGCUUUGCCCUCGAUUUUUGGCUCACCUACCAUUUUUUUUGCUCCAAUUUGGCCAUAGGGGUGCUCAGAAUCAAAUUUCAAGCAGAUAGGAGAAUUUUUACCUUUUUUGGCGAUCGGCUCCCUUCUCCGGUGACUGGUUCUUCUUCUUCGGCGAGAGGCUAGUGGCUAGGGUUUAGGUUUAGUGUGAUGCGAGAUAUUUAUACUUGUCUCACGUUAAUUUGGACUGUUUAUCACUUUUGAUCUCGAUCAUCUUAUCACGUUUAAAGAAAAAAUAAAUCUGGACCGUUCAUCGCAAUUUAAUUUCCUUUGCUUAU
rnacentral:lncRNA from 1 species